UAGGGAAUCUUCGGCAAUGGGGGGAACCCUGACCGAGCAACGCCGCGUGAGUGAAGAAGGUUUUCGGAUCGUAAAGCUCUGUUGUUAAGGAAGAACGAGUGUGAGAAUGGAAAGUUCAUGCUGUGACGGUACUUAACCAGAAAGGGACGGCUAACUACGUGCCAGCAGCCGCGGUAAUACGUAGGUCCCGAGCGUUGUCCGGAUUUAUUGGGCGUAAAGCGAGCGCAGGCGGUUAGAAAAGUCUGAAGUGAAAGGCAGUGGCUCAACCAUUGUAGGCUUUGGAAACUGUUUGACUUGAGUGCAGAAGGGGAGAGUGGAAUUCCAUGUGUAGCGGUGAAAUGCGUAGAUAUAUGGAGGAACACCGGUGGCGAAAGCGGCUCUCUGAUCUGUAACUGACGCUGAGGCUCGAAAGCGUGGGGAGCGAACAGG
rnacentral:rRNA from 1 species